AGUUUGAUUAUGCUCAGAUUGGAAUGCUGGCGGGAUGCUUUGUAUACACAAGUCGAACGGCAGCAUGGACUUCGGUCUGGUGGCGAGUGGCGAACGGGUGAGUAAUGUAUCGGAACGUGCCUAGUAUGGGGAUAACUACGCGAAAGGUAGCUAAUACUGCAUGCCCUUCUUCGGGGGAAAGUGGGGGGACCUUCGGGCCUCGCAAUUAUUAGAGCGGCUGAUAUCGGAUUAGCUAGUUGGUAGGGGUACUGGCCCGCCUGGCGGCGACGAUCCGUAGCUGGUUUGAGAGGACGACCAGCCACACCGUAAUUGAGACACGGCCUAGACUCAUGGAGGCAGCAGUGGGGAAUUUUGGACAAUGGGGGAAACCUCCUGAUCCAGCCAUCCCGCGUGUGCGAUGAAGGCCUUCGGGUUGUAAAGCACUUUUGGCAGGAAGAAACGGCAUCGAUACCCUGUGCAACUGACGUACCUGCAGAAUAAGCACCGGCUAACUACGCCAGCAGCCGCGGUAAUAUUGUAGGCAAGCAAGUAAUCGGAAUUACUGGGCGCAGCGUGCGCAGGCGGUUCGAAAGAAAGAUGGGAAAUCCCAGAGCUUAACUUUGGAACUGCAUUUUUAACUACCGAGCUAGAGUGUGUCAGAGGGAGGUGGAAUUCCGCGUGUAGCAGUGAAUGCGUAGAUAUGCGGAGGAACACCGAUGGCGAAGGCAGCAGCCUCCUGGGAUAACACUGACGCUCAUGCACGAAAGCGUGGGGAGCAAACAGGAUUAGUAUUACCUCUGGUAGUCCACGCCCUAAAACGAUGUCAACUAGCUGUUGGGGCUUUCGGGCCUUUGGUAGCGCAGCUAACGCGUGAAGUUGACCGCCUGGGGAGUACGGUCGCAAGAUUAAAACUCAAAGCCGAAUUGACGGGACCCGCACAAGCGGUGGAUGAUGUGGAUUAAUUCGAUGCAACGCGAAAAACCUUACCUACCCUUGACAUGUCUGGAACUGAAGAUUUCAGGAGUGCUCGCAAGAGAACCGGAACACAGGUGCUGCAUGGCUGUCGUCACCGUGUCGCAGAGCAUAAGUCCCGCAAACGAGCGCAACCCUGUCAUUAGUUGCUACGAAAGGGCACCUAAUGAGACUGCCGGCGACAAACUGGAGGAAGGUGAUGACGUCGUCCUCAAAGGCCUUUAUGUGGGCUCACACGUCAUACAGUUUGCCCGGACAGAGGGUCGCCAACCCGCGUAGGGAGCCAAUCCCAGAAACCCGAUCGUAGUCCGGAUCGCAGUCUGCAAACUGACUGCGUGAAGUCGGAAUCGCUAGUAAUCGCGGAUCAGCAAUGUCGCGUGAAUACGUUCCCGGUCUUGUACACACCGCCCGUCACACCAUGGGAGUGGGUUUUACCAGAAGUAGUUACCUAACCGUAAGGAGGUGGCGAUUACCACGGUAGGAUUCACAUCAAAGUGAAGUCGUAACAAGGUAA
rnacentral:rRNA from 1 species